UACGUAGGGUGCGAGCGUUGUCCGGAAUUAUUGGGCGUAAAGGGCUCGUAGGCGGUCUGUUGCGUCGGGAGUGAAAACUCAGGGCUUAACCCUGAGCCUGCUUCCGAUACGGGCAGACUAGAGGUAUGCAGGGGAGAACGGAAUUCCUGGUGUAGCGGUGAAAUGCGUAGAUAUCGGGAGGAACACCUGAGGCGAAGGCGGGCUACUGGGCUGAUACUGACGCUGAUGCGCGAAAGCUAGGGGAGCAAACAGG
rnacentral:rRNA from 1 species